rnacentral:rRNA from 1 species
GAUGAACGCUGGCGGCGUGCCUAACACAUGCAAGUCGAGCGAAGCGCCUUACUUGAUUUCUUCGGGAUGAAAGUAUUGUGACUGAGCGGCGUACGGGUGAGGUACGCGUAGUAGUACUGCUCAUACAGGGGGAUAACAGUUAGAAAUGACUGCUAAUACCGCAUAAGACCACAGCACCGCAUGGUGCAGGGGUAAAAACUCCGGUGGUAUGAGAUGGAUCCGCGUCUGAUUAGCUAGUCGGCGGGGUAACGCCCACCAAGGCGACGAUCAGUAGCCGGACUGAGAGGUUGACCGGCCACAUUGGGACUGAGACACGGCCCAG